rnacentral:rRNA from 1 species
UACGUAGGGGGGCAAGCGUUGUUCGGAAUUACUGGGCGUAAAGGGCGCGUAGGCGGCACGGCAAGUCAGGAGUGAAAGCCCUGGGCUCAACCCGGGAACUGCUUUGAAACUGCCGAGCUAGAGUGCGGAAGGGCAACUGGAAUUCCCAGUGUAGCGGUGAAAUGGCGUAGAUAUUGGGAAGAACACCUGAGGCGAAGGCGGGUUGGCUGGGCCGACGACCUGACGCUGAGGCGCGAAAGCCAGGGGAGCGGAACGGG